GUUCCAGAGACGAGCAAGAAGGAUGGGAAUGGUGGUUCAGUAAUUUGGUCUCAUCGCGCGCGAAUUAUUGGAGGUUAGUGACGGGUUGAGUUCUGCUCAGUUCCUGCUUGGACGCCAGAUUAUCCGCCAAACUGGUAGACAGCAGCAGGUUGGCAUUUUGGUGAUUCCAAGCAACGCUUAUCUCGGUGUGGAACAAGUUGUGCUGCGUGAGCCACGAAAAUUUCCUACUGAAAGCCCCACGAAACGAUGUGAGAAGGCGAGUUCCCAAGUCUUAACCAGCCAUAGUUCAACAGACGCGCAAAAAGGAUGGGAACAGUUUCAUAAUUUGGUCUCGUCGCGCGAUUUAUUGGAGCUUGGAGGUCUUCACGACGACUAUAGUUCCGAGUUCCUAAUUGGACGCCAGAUUAUCCGUCACACAUGUAGACAGAAGCA